ensembl:lncRNA
AAGAGUCGUAUUUUCUAGUUGUAUGCGAAUGUUCACCUCGCGGCACUCUUAUAAGAGAAACGAAUGAGCACCAGAUGAGCACCUCUCUAAGUUCUUUUGGAGCGCGUAACUUAACGUUACAUUUGAUAUCGCUGAUAUAAGCUUGGUUCAGAUGAAGUUCUGAAGGUAACGUUACAAACUCUUCUUUCAGUUUUCUGAAGUUACGUUAGUCAUUCAAGUAUCUCACCAGAACCCAGUGUAAUGCUGCGUGAAUAUCUGUUUUUAUACAGUCUAUGGUGAAUAUACGGUCAUAAGUUAUAAGUAAAUUGCAUACGUUCAAAACUAUAUAUUUUAGAAUAACAGUAAUAAUAGCAUAGUUGUAUCUUGUAUAAAUAGCCAUACAAUAAGGAUAGACACAAAUGUGUUAAAUUUCCUUUUAUUUUGUUAUAAUUCUGUGUUGUGUCAUUUAAAAGCAUGGUCUGGAUGGUAAAGUUUGUCUUUGGUAAUUAAAACAAACUUGUCAAUACAUUUGACUUUCUCUUUAAAGAUGUAUUUAUAUAUUUAUGUUAUUAUUUUACAGUGUUUUGACGUGUUUCUGUAUUUGUCAUGUUUAUGAUAUUUUGGAAUGACUGAAGAUCAGCGCAGAAUACAAUAAUCUUGUGGAUGGACCGCAGCGAGUCCUUUUGCAGUUGUAUCCCUCAAAAUGCUUUGCAGACAUAAUGGAAAUGACAUUCACAUUGUAGAGCUUGGACAAAGUUGUAAAGCAAACACACAGGAAUUCAUCAAGGACAUGACUGUUGGGAUUACGCUCGUGGAUGACCAAACUGAGCACCAUCAGUCUGCAGUGAUGUGGUCCAGCUAAUAGAAGAAGAAAUCUGAGCCAUCCAGUGAAAUUAAGGAUGUUGUGAAAGAAACUGACGCAUUUGGACUCCUAAUGGGUCUGUAUGCAGUGAACAUCCACUACCUCAAACUCAUGAAAUACACCACUGAUGCUCUGCAAAAACUUGUGAAGAACA